rnacentral:tRNA from 1 species
UGGACUCUUAGCUCAGUUGGUAGAGCAGUAGACUCUUAAUCUAUUUGUCCAGGGUUCGAGCCCCUGAGAGUCCAUCCA